rnacentral:misc_RNA from 1 species
AUAGUUGGAGUUGAAAUCCGCUAAAGCCUCAAUAAUGUUUUCAUAUUGCAUUCCAUGAUCUUGGCUCCAUAUUGAACGGACAUUUUCUUUUCUUGCUCCGGUCGAGCUGGCUUUCUUAUUUCUGGCUCUGCAGAUAAAGAAACUUCCAAGCAUUGCAGAAGUUAGAAAGAAACUGCCCACAAGAGGAAAAACAAUCAAAUCCAUAACAUUGUUGCCCUCUUUCCAAGUGUUUCUGUGGUUAAGAACAUGGAUAGCACAAGCCUUCAGACCAGAGGAAUUGCCACAGAAAUUCGAGUUGUUUCGAAGUGCCUCGAAUGGAGCCUCACGAAAGGCUUUAAUAUUGGGGACAUGACCCUCGAACUCAUUGUAAGAUACAUCCACCAUUGUCAAGCUUAACAAAUUAUCAAAAGUGGUAGGAAUGGAACCUGACAGCGUAUUAUGCGAGAGGUUCAACAGCUCCAGUCUUUGCAGCUCUCCGAACUCUUGUGGUAUCUUCUCUAUUAGCAAAUUUUCACUGAAAUCAAGACUCUCAAGAGAGUGUAGAUUGCCAAUCUCCGAUGGAAUACUCUCUGUAAAUUUGUUCCUGCUAAGAUUCAAGAACAAUAGAUUUGAGCAUUCCCCAAGCUGUUUAGGAAUUGCUCCACUUAAAUUAUUUGCUGCCAAGUUAAUACAUUCAAGAUCAGAUAACCUUCCUAUUUCUGGAGGAAUACUGCCUGAAAGAAGGUUAUUGUCUAGAGCGAGGUCGAUAAGCAUCAAUUUUAACAACCCCUUAGGAAUUUUCCCACCUAGAUGAUUGGAAGAAAGAUCAAUUGAACGCAGUUGAGUUGCGUUUCCAAGCUCAGAUGGUAUUUCACCAGAGAGAUUAUUCUUUGAGAUUUUCAGGGUUGUCAGAUUAUGGAAAAGACCCCAAUUCCAUGUAAGCUCACCAUAGAAUUUAUUUUCACUCAAAUCUAUAUAGUUCAAAUUUGGGUAUACGCCAAACACUUCAGAUAUAUUUCCCGUAAGCUGGUUCCUCUCUAGCCUCACUCUCACUAAGCUACUACAGUUUCUCAAGCUUUUGGGGAUAGGACCUGUAAAAUCAUUGUCAAAAGUCGCAAAAUAAAUAAGUAAUCCACCAACGCAUAUGUUUUGGGGUAAAUGGCCACUUAAUCUAUUAGAGAAUACUAUAAAAGAUCUCAAACAAGUCAUAUUGUUCAUCUCUAUAGGUAGAGUUCCAGAAAGCUUGUUGACAUCAAGGAAAAGAGUUGACAGGUUUGUCAAGUUUCCGAUAGAAGUGGGGAUAGUACCAGUAAAAUUGUUAUCUGAUAAGCUAAGGUGAGAAAGAGAUGUCAACAUUCCAACUUCUUCAGGAAUAGAACCUGAAAAUUGAUUCCUCCCAAGAUGAAGGAUUGCUAACUUUGUCAAGUUUCCUAUAAAAGUUGGGAUUGGACCACUAAGACAAUUGUCUGACAAUUCCAGGACAGUAAGAGAUCUCAACAUUCCAAUUUCUUGAGGUAUAGAGCCAGUAAUACUGUUAAAAGACAAGUCAAGGAAAUUGAGCUUGGAAAGAUACCUAAUUUGUGAAGGGAUAGUACCAUUUAAGGAAUUGUUGCUAAGGUUGAGAUUGAUGAGAUUGGGAAAGGACAAGAAGGUGAUGAUAAGACUCUCAAGUGUACCUUUCAACCCAGAAUUAGUAAGACUCACAUAGGCGACACUUCCAGCCUUAUUGCACUGAAUUCCAGACCAAUUGCAAGGGGCUUCUCCAGUAGUCCAGGAAAACAGGAGAGCUUGGCUUUGAUUGUCAAGACUGGCUUUCCAUCUUAGAAGGGCCUCUGCUUCCUUUGCCACCUGUGCUACUUCAUUUUUAUCAGCUUCAAAUGGAGUUGCAAAAGCAGCCAAUGCAAAGGAAUGAGAAAUGAUCAAAAUGGGAACAAAGUAGCAGAAAAUGGACCAUGGUUUUUCUAAUAAGGAUGCCAUGAAUAUACUUAUCAAAAGCCCUGAUGGAAAGAUUUGUUUUGGGACUUGGAUAUCUUUCAGCUGGUCCCAAGUCCAUACUAUAUAUUUGGGUCUUACGCGAAGCAUUCCAUAGAGUAAUACAAUUUUUAGAACACUACCUUCUGCUGCUGGUGGCUAUGGAAACUACAGAGUCAAAGUGGAAGCGUCAGAUCAUUCAAUGUUUCAGGUUGGUUCACGUUCCUUUUGACUAUGGCGGCGUUCUUUGCAUCUAUAGUGUCAUAAUUC